rnacentral:tRNA from 1 species
UCCCUGUAGGCAGAUGGUAAAGCGUCUGCCUACAAUGCAGGAGACCCAGGUUUGAUCCCUGGGUCGGGAA